rnacentral:rRNA from 1 species
UACGGGGGGGGCAAGCGUUGUUCGGAAUUACUGGGCGUAAAGAGCUCGUAGGUGGUUUGUCGCGUUGUUCGUGAAAACUCACAGCUUAACUGUGGGCGUGCGGGCGAUACGGGCAGACUGGAGUACUGCAGGGGAGACUGGAAUUCCUGGUGUAGCGGUGGAAUGCGCAGAUAUCGGGAGGAACACCGGUGGCGAAGGCGGUUCUCUGGGCCUUACCUGACGCUGAGGAGCGAAAGCGUGGGGAGCGAACAGG